CCAGCUGAAACUCUUUGAAAGGCUGUGAGCCUCCCCGGCGUUAUAAAUGCCGAUCAUUCCUCCUACCCUCCCUGUCCCUGGACCCUGUUACCCCCGCGGGAGUUGGUCCUGCCUCGGGCCCCCGUUCGUGACCAGUCCUGCACUCCUCUCCCUGCCCCUGUCUUUUCUGGCAUUGCUAGGUAGACUGAAGCGGCUUAUCCCUUUUCCUAGCGUGGGGUUUUCCUUCCCCGUCCCGGUCCCGAGGGUUUGCGGAGAAAGGCAGGCGGAGGUGGUCCCGACCCCACAGCGCCCCGCACCCUACCCUGGCCUGCUGGUAUCUGUCCUCCCUGCCCGCAGACAGGGAAGUGGCGGAGGGGAGCUGAGCCCUCUCCCAACCUCGAAAUGACGCAGCCCCUGUUCCAGCAUCGUCUCCCGUUUGGGCUGGCUCCAUUUCAGAAGCUGUCUCCCCCCACCCCCUUCUUCCCAGCCUUUCUCCUUCCUCCUCCUCCUCGCCUCACCGUCACUCUCAAACAACCCCCCCCCCUCCCCACGCCUCGCUCCCGCUUCCCCCCGCCGCCCCAAACUCCUUCCUCAGGACCGUGGGAUGCGGGUGAGCUCUGGUGAGAGUUGCCGGUCUCCAUUUCUAAGCGGGGAGCCGCCGGGAGCGACCGACCCUUCUGCCCCACCCCACUCCCCCGCAUCCCGGGUGCAACCGGAUGGCAAAAAUCAAAACUGGCUCCAAUUUACCCCAGUUGUCUUCCUUUGAACACUCAUAAGGCCUACUCUUUUCUCCAGUCUUGGUAUGUGGAUUUCUCUCUCUCCAAGUAAUUCCUUAGCAUACCCUUGAAUGACAUCUACCACACAUAAGUUUUUCAACCCACAAGGCUGAAACAACUUCCCUUAACUGAAAUGACCCCAGCACAGCUAUUCUCUAGAAGACACCCUCCUUGAUUUCUUGGGGGGUCCAUAAGAUGGCUGAAGUUGGAGAACAGCAAAGACUUGGAACAGACAUUGAGGUCCUAUUGCUCCUGUCGGAAACUUCUGUUGACUGCAGCGUGAGUUGGAUGGGACCCAGAGAAACCAAAUACAGACAAGUAACGAUGAGUUGGCCAUACAAGCGAGGAAAAUCACAGAUAACAGAUUUGGUGUACAGCUGAGCACUCUUAGUGUCUUGUCACCAAAAGCCCCUCCUGACGUGUCCAGAGGAAAGCUGCAAGCAUUUUGAACAGGCACACAGGAUGAAGAUGCUGCAAUAUGCUUCUGAGGAAAAGGAAGUUUCUCCCCUCACCUCCCUUCCCUGACCAGUGUGUGAUUUCCAGCUCCCGAGUCACAGAACCACUUGCAGGAACGGCUCGGGAGAGUUUUGGAAGAAAGGAAAGGGAAAAAAGGAGCCGCAUUUUUAUUUAACAGGAGAAGGAGAACAUAAAGAAAAGAAAGGUGUUCUCAAGAAUGUAGCCUGCAGCCUUGUCAGGUAGCAUUUCUUCAGAUGGUUUUUUUCUCACCCCUUUCCCACCCCAAGAUCUCUCUUCAUCAUUUUUUUAAACAUCUCUUCUGGGACAGAGACAUGAAAGUGAAUUGUGGGUCAAAGGCAAGAAUUAGGGGUUGCCAGGUCUGCUUUCUGAUGGCUUUACUUUAUCUUUGUGUCCAAGCUUUUGCCAGUUAGCAGGUACUGUGGGUUAUCCAUUCCAGUCACAUCAUUUUCUGCUUGAUGACAAGCAUCACACCUUCAUCCAUCACAUUUACAUUUCAAACUGCCACACUGCUCUAUUGAUUAAUUAUUUAGCAGCUCUUGGCCACUUGUGAGCGUUUCUGUGCUCACGUUUCACGGGGAAGGUCCAUUCUUUUUAUUUACGUGCAGAUUUGUAAAGCUAAAAAAAAAAAAAAAUAAAGCCUUUAUCAUGCACACAUGCCUCUAACCCAUGUGUGUGUGCUUGUAACCAUGCACACGUGUGUGAAUAUUUGUGUGUGUGUGUGUGUGUGUGUGUGUGUGUGUGUGUGUGGUGGUACAAUUAGGUGCACACAGAGAGCAGAAGCAGGUAACCUGAUCAAUAAGCACAUGCUCACACUGAUAAUAGAUUUCUGAGUUUUCAGAGCACUGAACAGCAGAUCAAUGAGACCUUGCAGGUGUGCAGGAGCUGAGAAUUGCAUCAGCUACAUCAUGCUCCCUACAGGCCUGCAGGGAACACAGACAUCGUCCUCUGGGCUUUGUCACUUUGAGCAAAAACAGGAGGAGCAUUUUUGCAGGUGCCUGCUAAUGACUGUAUUUCUUCCAUAUCACAGUCAGGAAAGGGCAGCCUCUGAACAAGACAGGAGAUCCAAUUCGACCUAGGGCUCAACUUGCCCCAGAAAAUCACUCCACCUUGUCUUUUCCUCAAUUCUCCUUUGAUGAAAUGCAGAAUGGUGAUCUAAUCUUAUAGUUCUUUUGCUUGCUUUUUAAUUUUUUUUUUAAUUUGAGAUAAGAAUCCACUGUAAGAAUAAAAUCCAUCUGCUCAUCUGAAUAUAUGGGUUGGCUCAGAAAUCUGUAUCUGGAAGAGUGAUAUUUGGCCUUGCUUCUGUUCCCUGGGGCACCCUGGGCACUCUGCUUUAGCUGGACGCUCUCCUGAUCCACCACCACCCCUCACCCAGCAAUUCCCAUGAGAGCAAUCUGUAAUCCUUUGGUGUCCCAGGUGAUGGGACAUUCCAGAUUGCCCUCUGAUAUUGGUAACUGCUUGUCCAAAGAUUCAUGUCUCUAGAAGGAACAGCUGCAAGAGGAAAACAAGAUGCACUAUUCCAUGAUGGGAAGAAAAAUGUUUUCAACAAAGGCUUUGGAAAAAUCAUCACGCACUUAUGUUGGAGCAGAAAAUGAGGAACAGCCAUGUAGUGAUGAAUUACGUAUUCCAGUCUGCAUAAGUAUGAAAGAAGAAAGGCAAAUUUUGAACAAAAUCUGCUAUACUGAGGAAAAAUUUGUGUCUCUGCAGCUGACAGGUACAAGCUAUCUGAGGCUCAUGGUCACCUUUUAUUAGCAAGGAGAGCAAUCCAAAAAUUUCAGGUGAAGAACUAAUUCCACCAUGACCGUGGUCUAGGUAGCUCUCUCUCUGGUGCUGCUUCUGACAGGUCCUGAGCAGACAGGUACAGCCUCACCAAAGGUGCUCUGGUUUAAGCCAGCUAAUCCAGCCCAUCAAGGCAGCUUGCUGCCAAGAUGUUCUCACUCAGGAUGUGGAUGGCAAAGAGCAAGCAGAUGAGCAUCGCUGUGGAAAAAAAAUCUGUCAUAUUGUACUGUAUGUAAAAGCUGGGCAAAGUAUGUUUUUUUGUGUAUUGGUAAGAGGUCCCUCUGGUAUUAAAUUACUUAAUGAGAUGUCUAUUGCAAUUAAAAGAGUCAUAACAUUUAUAUUAACAUUUUAAAGCUUGCUUAUUUCAGGAGUGUCAGUUUACAUGAGUCUAAAUAGGCAAUAAUGAACAUGAUGAAGUAUUCCAUAUUAAAACCGAGUACUGUGUAACUGUCUAGUAAAAUCUUAAUAUUAAACUAUACUGUAUAACUUACAGGGCAGUAUAAAAGCUUCAUAUGUAGAUGUAUCCCAUCCCGAAUCUCAAAUAAUGGACUUAGAAUUAAAUAUGAAUACAAAAUAAAAGGAAAUGCAUUUAUAUGUAAUCUUAAAGAAUACCUUUACGUGACAUAUCUAUUUAAAAUGCUUACAGUACACUUUGAUGGAUGAUACAGUCAUUUUCAGAAACAGCAAACCAUAAUUUAAAGACAGUGUGUAAUUAUUUAGCAGCAAUAUUUUCUAAGUUCAGCUCACUUGUACCUCUGACUCUAGAUGCUAGAACUAGAAUGUGUAUCAGUAAGCCCUAUUAUUUCAGAUGCUUACCUGGUGAAGGAAAAAGAUAUGUGCCGCAUUUAAAAUACUACUUAAGGAGGAAGAGAAGUAGGUUUAUUUAUGCAGACUUAGUUUUAAAAAUGCAGAGAAUGUAUUAAUUUCAGACCCCACCCACAGCAGCUAAGUAUAUUCUUUAUUUUGUUUUUCAAUACAUCUUCCAUAGUAUAUAUAGACUGUAAGCACAAGUUAGUCUUUUUAUAUUUUAAAUUUCCUUAAGAUGCUCAUUGCUGCAUUAACAUCUGUUCUGAAACUCCCACCACCACAGCAAGGAGGCAUCAAUUAACAUCAGUUUGGAAGUGACAGAUAUUCAGUCAAGGAGGAAUAAAACCCUACAGCAAUUUUUGCCAGAAAAAUCUCAUCAUGUGUGCAAAGAUGCAGUCUACUGGUAGCACCAGUUCGAUAUUUGAGGGGGAUGGAUCACUGGAAGAAUGAGGUUUGCCUCUCAUGAAAGGAGACAUGCAUGAGCUCUUAAUUGUAAAUUCAAAGAUAAGGCUACUGAACUGAGAGUGACCUGGCUCUGGUCCCAGAAAGUUGUGUUUCACUAGAUGUAGUUUCUACAGCAGAGAAAUCUAGCAGUGUGAGAGGCAGUCUUUCAGGCAGCUAGAUGCACUUGCCAGUGAAAUAAAUAUUGGAAAACUGAAAUUUACCCAGGAUGCUGUGAGCUACUAGAAUGGACCACAGAUUACCUGACACCUGGUCAUCCUGUAUCACUUAAUGUGCAAGGUAGUAGUUACUAAAACAGUGGAUCUUUUUGGCUGGAUUUCAGGACUGUAUCCAAGAACAGGGGAGUUAAAAAAUCCUGCUAUUUGAUCAUGGAAAAUAUACAGUGUUAUGCAAAUAUCCAUGUCCAAGAAAUAAGAAAAGAGCCUUGAACCAUCUUGGCAAUUGUACAGUUCUUCCAACAGAUUCCUUUGCUUUUGCAUGCUAUGACUUUACAAGCUAGAGUUUCAUUGAGUAUGGUUGAGAAAUCAGUGGAAAAUGAUGAGUGAAAAAAAGUAUGCACUGUUAGUAUAUUGCUUUCCUUGACAAAUAAGGAAUAAAUCCUUAAAAAGUGAAGAAACUAAAUUAAACUAAACAGCAAGUAGGGCUGUGUUGUUGUGGUUUUUGUUUUUUUGAUUUUUUUUUGGUGGGAUGAAUACUUUGGCUGCAAACUAAUUUGAGAUUAUAAGGGUAUGAAAAUUUUCUGUGAAAAUGUUUCCCUUUCUAAAAGGAAACUGCUGGUUUUCUAGUGAGGAAAAGGUUACUUUUAUAAAGUGUUUUCUAUUGAUCUGAUCAACAUCUCCAUGAUGGAAUGACAAGAAUUGAACAAAUGUUGCUGAACUAUGAAGAACUUAGAUCAACUGAUUUUGGGCCAAGAAAAGCUGUUGUAAAGGGUGAGGCACCACCAUUGGCAUGAAAUACACUGAUAGUACUUAUUCCAGUGGUGAAGGCAAUUUUUAAGUAUAAGGAAAGAUUCAGUGUAAAAAUAAAAUGUAAAUAUAUGUAUAUGCACAGACAAAGACAAAGAAGCAGAACAGUGUAUAAUUAUCAGACAGUUCACAGGAUAACACCAACAUAACUUUGGUCCUUGUGAUUUUUAUUCAGCUAAAGGUCAUUUAUUCUGCUCUGAAGAUCUUGAUUUUCUAUUAAUGUAAAGUUGGAGAACGAAUAACAAGAUUUUGUCCUAAGCUCAUCCAUGACAAUCAGGUUUAUCCUGGCACAACUGUGUUCUGAAUAAAGUGUUCAAUUACCACAAUAUGUGACAUAUUUCCACAGGGCAGUCAAGAGAAUAAACCUGAAUGUGAUCUGUAUGCUGCAGAUCUGGGACUGAAAUAAGGCUGAGCUAUAGGUAUUUGUUUAUGUGUUGCUCACUUCUCCCUGACCAACUUUCUAUCAUUACAUACUCAGCAGUAUCAUAAACUUUUCUGUGAGGCUGCAUGCCUGGGCAGUAAAGAUAAAUAAAGAGCGAUUCACUACAAAAAUAAUAUAGAGGAAGAACAGCAGCUGAUAAAAAGAAUUCAUUGAGAAAGAGGAGAAUGAUCUAGGAUAUCUGUUCCUUCCUGAAAUGCUCACAAGUUUAUCCAUCAUGCUGAAUGUGUUCUAGCAUAAAGGAAUCCUGUGGCAUUUGGGAUCACAGAAAUGUUCAGUUGUAUCACACUGGAAGCCCAUUUGGUCCAGUGUCUUGUGAACAGUGAUCAAAGUCACAACUUCAAAGGAAGAUGCAAUGAAGUAUGAACAAGACAUGGAAAUACCAGCUUUUGGUUCUUCUUUCCUCUUCCAGACAACAAGUGAAUGGCUUGUGCUUUGUAGCUAGGGAAUUUCUGCCUCUUUCUGCUUUAAAAUUGUUUUACUGUCACUAUGUAUGUUCUUCUCACAUACAAAAACUUUUCCAUUUAGUUUCAACUAAAUCAAGAUAAAGUGUAAUCUUAUUGCAUUAAUUUCUCCUCAUUUUAUGGACAUUGUGUAAUUAACCCUCCAUAUACAUAUCUGCCUAUCUUAGUGGCAGUCCAGUAGUCUUUGAAAGGCUUAGGUGAACAAGUUAUAACAAUCUGUUCAAAGAAUUCCAUCCCCUUUGCUCUUCGCAAUGCAAAAGCUUCAAAGGUCAGUUCAGAUAGACUUUGCACACUCCAGGGGUGUUAAUAAUUUAAACUCAUGGAUACAUUUCUCAUGCAGGCAUAUAGCAGCUUUUAAGGUAUAUUUUCUGUGUUCAUGUGUUUAUUUCUCAAUAAUUGAGCAAGAUAAUGAAAACUCUAGUAGAGAAGGUAGUUGCUAGGAAGGGACCAUCAAUAUCUUGAUGGAGACAGAAAGUAUUUUGACAGACUUGAAAUGACACAGUAGUGCAAUUAUUUCUCUUUCUCCAGUUAUUCCAAGGUUAACAAUCUCUGUUGAAUUUCCUCAGGAAGGAAGAAAAAUUCUUUUGCUUUGGGCACACACACUCGACUCAAAUUUUUGGAGGAAAGUAUUUCUUCCUUCUGUCCUUGUACUGCAGCUGAGGAUAAAAGAAGAGGUAACACUUCCCUGACAAAGCCUUCAGACCAUCUUUCUGUAAAGUUCUUACAUGAUAGUAAGAAUACAAGAAGGUCUAAGUGCUAAAUACACCUGAAUUUAAAAGUUUUUCUCAAUUUCAAGUAUAUGGAUUACAUUGACUGGGAUAUGGUGCUUUCCUUACUGUGCUAAAGACCAAAUAGUGUCCUGACUUGUGCACCACUGGAAUGUUGAAUUUUAUUUUGCAGACUGGGAUAAAGUUCUUAGGGAUUUGCAAAUUUUUAAAAGGAAAAAUUUGUAAUCUGGCAGUGAUCACUGAUUUAUUUUAUGUCUGGGUCUUGAAAAAGACCUAUAGUCACUCCUUUGAGUUUGGCAGAACUUUCAAGUGUGAAAAAGGGAAUAAAUGAAAAGCCAUGGAAGAAGUCAGAUUUUCUGUGAGGCUGUGUACCAUAAAAAUAAUAACAAGGGGAAAUGGAAAACCACUAAAAUAAAAGACUGCCAUCCAGUUUAUGUCCACACAUGGUAAGGUAUUAUCAAACAGUUAUUUCUCUCAGUUAAUCAUUAAAUGCACUCCUACACUCUUAAAAACUAAUGUGAGCAACGCUUUUAGGACAGAAAAGUACACACAAUGGAUAUGUGAGUAAGAAGCAUGUGAGCCAACAAAAUAACAGCUCUCUCUUCUGUAUAGCUCUAUAUUCUUUUACAACUAGGUUGUUUCAUUAAUAAU